rnacentral:rRNA from 1 species
UUCCAGACUCCUACGGGAGGCAGCAGUGAGGAAUAUUGGUCAAUGGGCGAGAGCCUGAACCAGCCAAGUCGCGUGAAGGAUGACGGCCCUACGGGUUGUAAACCUCUUUUGUCAGGGAGCAAAGGGCGCCACGUGUGGCGUUUUGCGAGUACCUGAAGAAAAAGCAUCGGCUAACUCCGUGCCAGCAGCCGCGGUAAUACGGAGGAUGCGAGCGUUAUCCGGAUUUAUUGGGUUUAAAGGGUGCGCAGGCGGAAUGUCAAGUCAGCGGUAAAAUUUCGGGGCUCAACCCCGUCGUGCCGUUGAAACUGGCGUUCUUGAGUGAGCGAGAAGUAUGCGGAAUGCGUGGUGUAGCGGUGAAAUGCAUAGAUAUCACGCAGAACUCCGAUUGCGAAGGCAGCAUACCGGCGCUCAACUGACGCUCAUGCACGAAAGCGUGGGUAUCGAACAGGAUUAGAUACCCGAGUA